rnacentral:rRNA from 1 species
GACGAACGCUGGCGGCGUGCUUAACACAUGCAAGUCGAACGGAAAGGCCCUGCUUUUGUGGGGUGCUCGAGUGGCGAACGGGUGAGUAACACGUGAGUAACCUGCCCUUGACUUUGGGAUAACUUCAGGAAACUGGGGCUAAUACCGGAUAGGAGCUCCUGCUGCAUGGGGGGGGUUGGAAAGUUUCGGCGGUUGGGGAUGGACUCGCGGCUUAUCAGCUUGUUGGUGGGGUAGUGGCUUACCAAGGCUUUGACGGGUAGCCGGCCUGAGAGGGUGACCGGCCACAUUGGGACUGAGAUACGGCCCAGACUCCUACGGGAGGCAGCAGUGGGGAAUAUUGCACAAUGGGCGGACGCGUGAUGCAGCAACGCCGCGUGCGGGAUGACGGCCUUCGGGUUGUAAACAGCUUUGGCCUGUGACGAAGCGUGCGUGACGGUAAUGGGUAAAGAAGCACCGGCUAACUACGUG